AUCGGAGCCACGAAGUCGUUUCGUUGUUUAGUCUGGAUUAGGUUCAGCAGGUGGUCGAGAGGCCCCUGUGUAUUCCUGAGUCUGGCCAAACUUUGUAAGCGUACACUGCAACCAGUUAGACGAUCAGUAGUGGGACGAGUGUUGUUGGGAGGCGAGCAAUCGUUUUUCUAGCUACACGAACAAAUUGUCCAAUCUAACUAGUAGUAGCGCGGCCGUGUCUCGUGCAUGGUUCGUGUUGCUGGGUUAGUUUUGGGUGAACUACAACUGAAUACUGACUGGCGAAAUGAAAAUCGCUCCCGCAUGGGAUGCGUUAGAGACAAAGCUAUUGGUCACAUGUGAGCCUACACACUCGACUGUUGGGUCUAAGCUUGGCGUUUUCGAAUUCAGACUUGCUUGCUACCAGUGGGGCAACUCCUGGUGCUUGUAUAGCUUCUGUCUAAUCAGGCGUCGACUUGGCCAAGCAUUGAUCGGUUGUGCUACGAUUGGGUUAACAUGCGAACUAGUUAGCAAUGUGAAUU
rnacentral:rRNA from 1 species